UAAUUAUUACAACUUUCAACAACGGAUCUCUUGGUUCUGGCAUCGAUGAAGAACGCAGCGAAAUGCGAUACGUAGUGUGAAUUGCAGAAUUCAGUGAAUCAUCGAAUCUUUGAACGCACAUUGCGCCCUUUUGGUAUCCAAAGGGCAU
rnacentral:rRNA from 1 species